rnacentral:rRNA from 1 species
ACGAACGCUGGCGGCAGGCCUAACACAUGCAAGUCGAGCGCACCCUUCGGGGUGAGCGGCGGACGGGUGAGUAACGCGUGGGAACGUGCCCUUCUCUGCGGAAUAGCCUCGGGAAACUGAGAGUAAUACCGCAUACGCCCUUUGGGGGAAAGAUUUAUCGGAGAAGGAUCGGCCCGCGUUGGAUUAGGUAGUUGGUGGGGUAAUGGCCCACCAAGCCGACGAUCCAUAGCUGGUUUGAGAGGAUGAUCAGCCACACUGGGACUGAGACACGGCCCAGACCUCUACGGGAGGCAGCAGUGGGGAAUCUUAGACAAUUGGGGCAACCCUGAUCUAGCCAUGCCGCGUGAGUGAUGAAGGCCUUAGGGUUGUAAAGCUCUUUCAGCUGGGAAGAUAAUGACGGUACCAGCAGAAGAAGCCCCGGCUAACUCCGUG